rnacentral:tRNA from 1 species
GACGAUACCGGGCGGGUCCCGGUCGAGGGCGUUCUGGCCGCCUCCGGCAGUGACCGCAUCGUCAUCCGCCGUUCCGAUCCGCGUAUCGGCG